rnacentral:lncRNA from 1 species
UGCCUUAUUUGAUUGGUGGGGAAUUUUGGAUAGGGUUUAGUCUUAUUUUUUCUUUUCUGAGAGAUCGUGUUCUUGUUACUGCCCUGCCAUAAGAGCAUUGAGGUUGUCACAGGUCAACAACAAGGGGUUCGAUUUUUGACUCUAUACCCUUCUUUUGGCUGACGUGCCCCCCUUUGUGUGCUUUCGCCCUCUCAACAUUGCCGCCCUUAGAUCUAAGGGAAGACAAGCAUAUAGUUUCCCUAAAAGAAGGGUCAAUCCAUUUAAGCGCAAGAUACUACCUAACGUUGGAGGACAUAGACUGAGCAGUGUCUUCGGGGUUUAUCGUAAAUAAGGUAAGGUAAGAUUGGUUUGAACUAGCAUAUGGGCAGAGUUGAGCACCGAGUCCUUAGCAAUAUACUGCCCAGUGUGUAGGAGAAGGAUGUUGUCGACGCUU